GACUGACGUGGAGAAGGGUUUCGUGUGAACAGCCGUUGCACACGAGUCAGUCGAUCCUAAGCCUAGGAGAAAUCCUAUGUCAAUGACGGCGUACGAUACUCUAGUGUCGCGUUCUCGCAACUCUCUGCCAAUAGAGAGGAGAGAGGAGAGAGACACACGCCCGUCGGGCGAAAGGGAAUCCGGUUCCUAUUCCGGAACCCG
rnacentral:ncRNA from 1 species